UGAUACGCGAGGAACCUUACCUGGGCUCAAAUGUAUGUUGACGUAUUCUGAAAGGGAUACUUCUUCGGACAAUAUACAAGGUGCUGCAUGGUUGUCGUCAGCUCGUGCCGUGAGGUGUCGGGUUAAGUCCCAUAACGAGCGCAACCCCUAUCAUUAGUUGCCAUCAGGUCAAGCUGGGGACUCUAAUGAAACUGCCUACGCAAGUAGUGAGGAAGGUGGGGAUGACGUCAAGUCCUCAUGGCCUUUAUGACCAGGGCUACACACGUACUACAAUGGCCGAUACAAAGGGCAGCGACACUGCGAGGUGAAGCCAAUCCCGUAAAAUCGGUCUCAGUCCGGAUUGGAGUCUGCAACUCGACUCCAUGAAGUUGGAAUCGCUAGUAAUCGUGGAUCAGCAUGCCACGGUGAAUACGUUCCCGGGCCUU
rnacentral:rRNA from 1 species